GGAGCGGGGAGUAGAACUGCCGGCGUUCAAAUCUUCCGCCUCCCCCACCCGCCCUUCACCCAGCGGUCCCGGCGCGGCGGCGGCGUGAGGUUCCGGCGCCUUCCCCAGCAGCCACUGGCGACGGAGUCCCCGAGGAGAUUUCUCUGUGGAGGAGUUAACAGUGAAGAGGCCUCUGCCUUAACUUUUGUAAAAAGUGGGAAAAUGGCAUCAGAGGACAUCACUAAGCUUGCAGAGUCACUUGCCAAAACCAAAGUGGGUGGUGGACAGUUGAGCUUCAAAGGCCAGGGCCUUAAACUCAACACAGCUGAAGACGCUAAAGAAGUGAUCAAGCAAAUUGAGGAAUUUGACGGCCUGGAAGCCUUGCGCCUGGAAGGCAACACAGUGGGUGUGGAGGCAGCAAAGGUUAUUGCCAAAGCCUUGGAGAAGAAAAGUGAGCUCAAGAGGUGUCAUUGGAGUGACAUGUUCACAGGCAGGCUAAGGUCUGAGAUCCCUCCUGCUUUGAUCUCUUUGGGGGAUGCACUCAUAGCUGCUGGAGCCCAGUUGGUGGAGUUGGACUUGAGUGACAAUGCCUUUGGGCCAGAUGGUGUGCGUGGCUUUGAGGCUCUGCUGAAGAGCCCUGCAUGCUACACUCUGCAGGAACUCAAGCUUAAUAACUGUGGCAUGGGCAUUGGUGGUGGCAAGAUAUUGGCAGCUGCUCUGAAAGAGUGUCACAGGAAAUCAAUUGCCCAGGGCAAGCGUCUUGCUUUAAAAAUAUUUGUGGCUGGCAGAAAUCGUCUGGAGAAUGAUGGUGCCACUGCCCUGGCUGAAGCCUUUGGGAUCAUUGGGACUCUAGAAGAGGUCCAUAUGCCACAGAAUGGAAUUAACCAUCCUGGCAUUACAGCACUGGCACAGGCCUUUGCUGUCAACCCACUGCUUAAGGUUAUAAACUUGAAUGACAAUACCUUCACAGAGAAAGGAGCUGUGGCCAUGGCAGAGACUCUAAAGGCACUUCGACAGAUUGAAGUGAUCAACUUUGGGGAUUGCCUGGUGCGUUCUAAGGGUGCUGUUGCUAUUGCUGAUGCUGUUAAAGAAGGGCUUCAUAAACUAAAGGAACUGAAUUUGUCUUUCUGUGAGAUCAAACGAGAUGCUGCUCUGACUGUUGCUGAAGCUAUUGAAGAUAAGAGAGAGCUGGAGAAAUUGGAUCUCAAUGGUAACUGUCUGGGAGAAGAGGUGUGUGAGCAACUCCAUGAGAUCCUUGAAGGCUUCAAUAUGGCAUCAGUGCUGGGGUCUUUGAGUGAUGAUGAAGGAGAUGAGGAUGAUGAUGAGGAAGAGGAAGAUGAAGAGGAGGAGGAAGAAGAGCAACAGCUGAAGGAGAGAGGAGUGGAAGAACAGGAGUCACUGACUCCGAAGAAGAUACUUGAUUCACAGGCUUCGACUCCAGUGCCAUCUCCUCCUGUGGAUGUUGCCACGUUCCUUGCUUUUCCAUCACCAGAGAAGCUGCUGCGAUUAGGACCAAAGUGCUCUGUGCUGAUAGCUCAGCAGACAGAUAUAUCUGAUGUAGAGAAAGUAGUUGCAACCCUCCUAAGGAUAUCCUCAGUCUUCAAAGAUGAAGCCUCAGUGAAAGCAGCAGUGCAUGAAACAGCAGAUGCCUUGAUGAAAAAAGCCUUCAGUUCUGCCACAUUUAAUUCAGAUGCAUUCAUCACAAACCUCUUGGUCCACAUGGGACUACUUAAGAGUGAAGAGAAGAUCAAAACUGUUCCAAGUCUCUAUGGUAUUCUUAUGACCUUGAACCAUAUGGUCCAGCAGGAUUAUUUCCCUAAAUCCCUGGUCCCAGUUCUCACAGCUUUUGUUACAAAGUUUAAGCCAGAAGUACCAGGACUUGCCAUGUGAAAUUACCCAGACAUAUCACUGAACUUCUGCUGUUUCCUGCACUCCUGCCUUACUCUUGCUUGUUGGUCAAGCCCCAGCCCUCAUAAUGGAAUUUAAAUUGGUGGAAGCUGAGAACACAGAAGAAAGACUUUGGUUCAGGGCCUUUGACUGUCCUAAUUGUGCAUGUCAGACCUAACCGUGCUCUUGACUCCUGUUCAUUUGCUCGCCACAUGCUCUUACAGACCCUCCACCAGCUGUAAGAGCCAAGAGAUGUGCCCUUCUUUCCUCACAGGACUAUCAUCAGCAGAGAACUUGGAGCCACAUAGUGGGAGAGGAUCCCAGAGCCCAUAAAGACAUGCUGUCCUUUUUUUUUUCCUGUAGGAACUCUGUCCUUCCUUCUGCUUUCAUAAACAAAUCCUGCUGAAUUGUCUUCCUACUCCUCUUGAAGUGAUUCUCUGGUCUGUAGGGCAGGUGUUUACGCUAAAAUAAGUCUGUACUGCUGUGAGCUCAGCAUGAAUUGAAGCAUUCUCCAUUUUGGUUGCAUUUGCAAGAGUGCCAAGACUAACACAGGGUCCAGAAGAGCUCUCAUCUGGAUCACCGCAGCUGGGCAUUUUAUUGGACUUUGACUCUUGCCUUAUAGCAUUUAGCACUGUGUCAGAGGGAGGCUGUGCUACUGCCGCUGCCCUGCUUCUCUGGGUCAUGGGGGUGCUGCUUAUGGAUCAGAGGGAUGAGGUGUGAUUCCCUUUGGUUCUUCUUUCAAGCUUGUUGUCAAAGGCAGUGUAUAGCUGAUUUUUAUUUUAAUAUACUCUUCCCCUUCUGCUGUGACUUGGAAUAUUUGUGUCAUGUGGCUGUUGCUGAUCCUGGUGGCUGUUGCUUAAGGGAGUGAGCAUAUUUUAUUGUCAUUUUUUUUCUUGCCAUUGCCUGUAUUGUUUAUUCUUCUUGCCCUUUUCCUUCUCACCAUAAUUAAAUAGGCUUGGUUUGAAAAUUAAUACAAUCCAUUAAAUCCCUGUGGAAUCCCUUUCUCUUCCCUUUAAAAAAACGCUGGGCCUGUGUGCACUGUUCACAUGUUUGAAAGCCAAGCACAUGUAAGAAUAUGUAAAGAGAAGGCUGUGCUUUUCUCUUGCACUGAACAGGUAGCAGCAGAUGCUGCUAAAUCUAUCUGGAAGAUUGACCAUGUGCCCGUAUGUGCCUUCAAACCACUGUGAUGUUCCUCCAUACAAUUUACAUGUUUAUGUCUAUUGCCUGAACUGUUAUGUAAAUUAAAAUUAAGUCCACAGCCUUAUCAUGAUUUAUAACACCUACACUUCGAUUUGGAAGCCUGUUUUGCAGAGGAACACAAAAUGGGACUGGGAAUGGAGCCUGGUUUGUGUGAAGAGAGAGGCAGUAGUAAAGUGAGGAACCCAAGCUAUCAAGUCUCAAACCUUGUUUCUGCAGCAUCCUGUUUCUUUUCUUGGUGGUUUCCUGCUCCUGUCCAAAACAGGAACAUGGCAGAGGAGCAGGUUUCCCUCCAGGCAUCUUCCUAGCACAGUUUAAAUAGGAAAAGCAGUGCCAACGCUUAGGAGCACUAUCCUGCUGCUCAGCUGUAAGUACUGUGAGGUGAACAUUAAACUUGUUUAAUGAGGUAAAUUUAAGUACUUUGUCCAAUUAGCUAAAGAAACAGGCUGGAAUUCACAGGAACCUGUGAGCUUUCCUUAAGAAUGAUUGGACUAAAAACUCUAUCACAAGUCUUGCUGGUGUGAUCUCAUGCACAGCCAAGAUUUGGCCAGCCCAUGUCUUGCUGGAUUUCUGUCUGGAAAGCUGUGACGUGAUGCUUUGAUCAUUUGAAUGCUGAUUUUUCUCGCCCUCUUACCAAAUUGCAUGGAGUAGUUAUUGAGUUUUGCAGUGGUUGUGAGAAAAUAAAUGUAAUCAAAGGGCCAGAUCUAUUAGGCAGAGCUCCAUGGACUUGCUUGUACUGCCCCAGCAUUCAUAAAGUUCAGAUGGUUACAGACUCGUGAGACCAACAUGACAUUUAGGGCUUUGGCCAGAUUCCAAAUUGGUGUGGUCCAUCUUGAUUUUCUUCAGAAUUGGGGCUUAUUAGCUUAUAUCUGCUUGUCCUUUGUAAAUAUGUAAAAUAAUCUUUUUAGAUGUCGCCUACUUAGCAAACCAGAACACUCAGCUUGCCAAAAUGUGCUUUGCUCUUACAGCACAGUGGCUUUGUACGGAGUCCUCCCCCUGUGAUUUUGAACAUCUACAACUUUUAUAGUGUACUGGGGUUGUGGGUGCAAAGCUCACAAUCAGAUGAGGAAAAUUGAAGCUCCAGUUCAGAUUCUAAGGCUGCAGACGAAGAUUUUUUUUCUCCAGACAGAAACAGAGAGCAGUGAGGAUGUUGUGACAUAUUCUAUAGGACAGCAACACCACUCUUAUGGGCCUAAUAUUCUUGAUUAAAGCAAAAUCAUUUUAGAUUAAUUUUGGCUUGUUGGAACUGUCAGAGUGCCUUACUCUUCCAUAAUUUAAUUUACCUUCCUGAGGAAAGAAGCCUUUGAAUCCAGCAGCUGACAGGAAACACAGCUAGUGAUGAUUAUUUGUAUAAUCUAAAAGUACUUUAUAUUCCUUUAAUUUGGGAAAACUUGCACUCUUUGUCUGUGUCUCUGAGUUCAGCUGAACAGCAGCCAAACUGUAUCACUCAAUUAUUUCAUUAGUCUUUUAGAAAAAGCAAGAGAGCAAGGCUGAAGUAAGAGAGACUUCAUUUCAGGAGUGGAAAAAGGGUUUCUAUGUGCUCUGAGAUAGAGCUGGAAAACCUGACUUUCAAAUUAAUCUAAGAAACACAAAAAAUAUUUAAUAUUCCUGACUCUGUAGGAUGAGCAGGAGCAAAAGAAGAAAAAAAAUUAUGGGUAGAAUUCUUUAGCUCAAUAAUACCUUUGGAGGAAUGUUUGUUUAAAAUGUCAUCUCUGACUUCUUGCAAGCCUAUGAAACUAACAGAGGUUCUGAGUCUUAAAAUACUUCAAAUGCUGAAAAAAGAAAAGGCAUAAAUGGGAAAUUCAAUUUCAUCAAACUUUCCAAAAUCAUGCUAUCAGGUAAUUAUUUAGUCUUUUCAUUAAAUCACAGAAUCCCAGAAUGGUUUGGGUGGAAGGAACAUCAAAGCUCAUCUCAUGUCCCUCAUGGGCAGGGACACCUUCCACUAUCCCAGGUUGCUCCAAGCCCUGUCCAGCCUGGCCUUGGACACUUCCAGGAAUCAUGGGGCAGCCACAGCUUCUCUGGUCAACCUAUUCCAGGGCCUCACUACCCUUACAGGGAAGAAUUUUUUGUCUUGAAGAAAAAUUACCCAGCUGAUGAAAGUUUUUCACAGUUUCCCUUUUUAAAGCAACAGGGAAAAUCUCGCCUAGGAAACUAAAAAUUCCUCUUUAAAAUGUCUCAAUUUAUACUUUGAGUGAAUGUAGGAUCUGUGGCAGUGCCACACUUCUUUUCACAAAGGACUUUUAUUUUCAGGGAAAGAUUCAUAUUUAUGACUACCCCUUUUAAGAAGUAGAAAAUUGGAAAAAAUUUGUAGUUAUAAAUCAGGGUUAUUUUACCUAAAAUUUAUAUUGAACAAGCUAUGAAAUAAUAAACUUGAACAUUGUCCUAUACUCACCUACCUCAAAAAACAUUAUUUACCGUUCGUAGCCGUCAAAUCCCAUCUCAGAGUUUUGGGAGGGAUACCCAUUCUUCAGUGGUCUGCUGCAAUCCAGAACUGUCCACAUGGUGUGACUCAGCUUUUAAAGGUAAUAACAACAUGGUUUUGUCUGUCUUGAAAGAAAAGAUAUUUUUUGGGGGGUUGUGGUGUUAGUAGCAUUUGGUUUUUUUCUGAAGGGUGGCAGUGAUGGAUAUUUUUUAAUAUUGAUUGUAGAUGGUGAGUCUCAUUUUUUCUGAAGAAACCCCCCUCUAUCCUAGAUCUCCCAUUUAGAUCUCAAAGUGCUGAACAAAGGUGGAUUCCACUUCGGUUUUGACUUGGCUUUGCCUGUUGCUUUCAGGGAACAUAAAACAUGUUUCUUGUUUUAUGUUUUACUAACUCCUUCCUGAUUUAUGUAAAUAACUUGUAUCUCUCCUUCCCUGGCUUUGCUGGCUGCCUCUGUUCUGCUGCUGAUUUUAAUUUAGGGUGCUAACUCUUCAAUUUCAAAGCCUGUUUACUUGAGGGUCAGUAGAGCUCCCAAUGAAUACAAUCUUGCUUAAACUUGGCCUCUUGGCACUCCUGUAAUCCAGGAAUAAAAGGGGAGUAAAGUUCUAAUUUGAGACUUUGGUUUCUUUAAAUUGCUAAUACAUACUUCCCAGGUACUACAAUAUCCCGAAAGGCUGGGUUUAUGAGCGUGAGUUCUCUUUGCUCCUUGUAUUUGUUGGGAUUUAAAUUUGUUCCUUGCAUUUGUCAGGCCUUUUAAAAGGUUGGAUAAAUUCCUAAAGUGGGCACUGUAUAAUUGGUGUCAAAAUCAGCUCCUCUGAUCUCAAACAGAUGAGAUUUGUUUUUCCAAGCUCAGCUAAACAUGUUCAGUAACUGCUGCCACAAGCUGCUACUCCAGUGGGCUCUGGGAGUGCAGGGAUUGUUCGUGUCUUCUGGUGGGAUAGCAAAGGCCAAAAAUAACAGUGGCUCUGUCCCCUGAGGCAUAUUCAAGUUUAGAUCCCUCUGACACCCAAUGGUGUAAUUCCGCUGCUUAUACAAAAUGUCUAAAAGUCAACACACCUUUGCCCAUCAUGAAAUUUAUCCUGCAUUUUUCCAAAAUGUGAUUAUUUACUGAAGUGGGCUGUUCUCAUGUUGGAAUUUUUUUCAGCCUUUGUGCCUAAGUAAUGAAAUAUGUGGAGUUUAUUUUACUGAAAAGAAUACUUAUGGUACAUAGUGAAAGCAUUUGGCUUCUGACUGUUGGCUCUCAUUCCAAUAGUUCAAUCAUGAGGUGGUUGAGGAUUUAUAGUUCUUAGACGUUCUUUAGGAAUGAACACAUCCACUGAAAAAACAAACAGCUGUUCUGCUCGUAGGCAAUUCAUAGCAAUUUUUAAGCUAGAAGAAACCUGUCAUCUCAUACUACAGGCUGAAAACACUGCAUGGCAAUGGAAUUUGGUUGGGAUGCCGUCAUACUCUGAGGAAACUGAGAUCACAGCAUCCAGGUACUCCUGAGCUGGGAAAGGCUCAGUUAUGUGUCCUAAGGAAUUACACAACUUUUUCUUCUCUCAUCUUCUAAUAGCACAUACACAAACAGGGUCAAAAAGAUUUUUUUUUUUUUUAAAUAGUACACACGACUUGUUCUUCAGUUCAAUUAAAAUAGUUAAUUCCACCGGGCUUGGAAUACAUCAUUUCAUAGGAAGCAGAAACUCAGGUCUACUUUCAGCAAGAUGUUUCUAAAUUUUAAAUCAUAGAUUUAAAUUAGAAGUUGGUGUUUUUUAAAUAUACCACACUUCAUUGCCUGUAAUUUAAGUGUAUGUUUACAUCACUCUGGGAUGCACAGUGAAAUCCAGCCUGGGUUUGAUGUCACUACAAGACAGAGAACCCAUUACCUUUCCUGUGAAGCUGUGUGACUCCUGAGAUGUUUCCUGGCCUCAGGAUUAAUGCUGGGUUCAGUACAUGUCAAUUAAUUUUAAAUAGACCUUUUCUCACAUAAGACUGUGUCUUGCCACUGCGGGUUAUAGAGGAUGGCAGUGCACCUCUGUUAGCAGCCUGUCUGGCUCUAAGUAAGUACUGCUGUGCCAUGCAAGAGCCAUAGAUUUGCAGGGGAGGCAAAGGAAAUACCUUUAUGACCUCAUGCUAUCCAUUUAUACUCUGAGUCAUUAAAAUGACUGCUUCUUAUAAAAGUUAUCUUUGCUGGCAGAGGAGUAUGUGGGCAAAUGCUCCCUCUGACAAUCACUGUGCUUUGGAUUAGACUCAAAACACACGUAUUAUUUAAACUUAACUUUCCUUUCCUCCUACUGAAUGAUUUGCCCCCAAAAGAAAACAUCUGACUCUCCAUGAAACUGCAGGUGAUGGUGAAAUUGCUGUCAAGCACUGCAGGUCCAGUGUACUCCUCAGGUUAAUUGUAAAUUACUCUGGAACCUGCCAUGCAGGGAUGAGAUUUUGUUCCACCUGUGGCCCACCAAUGGAUUUGGAACAAGAGUCUACUGUCAGUAGAUCAUAUGUAUUGCACAGUAUUCUUUCCAUCAGUGGAAAAAUUUAGGGGAUCUAUAAAUCAAAGAAAGAUUUGACAGUGCUUCACUGUGUCCAAAUAUUCAGCAUCUAAACAAGUUGCCUUUCUGUUUGUCAGUUCUAGUUAUAGAGUAACUUAUAGUUGACUGUAACGUAUUUCUGUGAGUGUUAAGGGACUUACUGAAGGAAAAUGAAGAGCAGUGGAAGGGUAGAAUGAAGGACAGAUGAAUUUCAUAAAGCUGUGGUUCAGCUCAUGCACACAUGUUUAGUUUUUCUUUCAGUGGAAAUGAAGUUACAGGAGGGAGCUGAUUCAGAACAGAUGUCACUGUGAUGUGGCAGUAAGGACUGAAGUCCCUAAUCAAGGAAGUAGGAAUUGCUCCCAGGUCAUGCAGUUUAAAUUAGAAUAAAAUAUAUCUUGCUGUUGCAGUUAAGAUAGCAAAUUCCACCAGUUCAUCCAGUUAAAUCCACUUUUGCUCAAACUCUGGAGCAGACUGUGUGUCAUUAAUAUUUCUCAAUUAUUUCAUUUCACUUAACCACAUUUUGCUAGUCAGUAUUUGUUUUUGCAACUGUAGUGAUGAAAUAUAUUUAUUGGCUAUAUUAGCAGGUGCCUGGCUUGGUCAGAUUUCAAUAGUUCAGAACAUCUCCUGUCCAUAACACUAAUAAUUGAAAUUUUUAAAAAAUUGUUCUGUUAUCAAAUCAGAGAUAUCUAAAUUUGGGAUUGGCUAAGAAGAAUGAGACUAUUUAUCCAAUUCAAUAUUUCCACCAGUAUCUUGCUAAUAAUUUUGUCUGAUUUUUUAGAUUGUUGUCAUUUGGUAACUGUAGUUCAUAUUUCCAUUGAAUUUGUAUCUUCUGCUGUAGGACAAUAUAAGUUUAAUCUAUUUUUAUAUUGUUACAUGACAUCACAUACUUACUUGUCCUAGGUUACAGUGUAAGAUGUGCCCAAAGUAUGUAUUCUAUCACUCUUAUGAGAAAUGAGGUUGGGCAGUGUUUCUCUUGCCCCCUCCCUCCGGACUGUCUUCUGUUAAUGGCCCAUCAAAGCCCUGCUGCAUGACUCAUAGGUAACUCCCUCUGGGAGCUAUCUCUGUUUAAUGGGUAAUCAAGGACCCAUUGCAAGACUGAUAAAAUGAUAUCAGCCCAUUGUGAGAUGCUCUGCCCAGGGGGAGGAGCCAAGCAUUCCCACCUGGAUAUAAUCUGGGAUUUGGGACAGCACAGGGAGCCUUACCCACUGGAUUCCCAGAGGACAAGAGCUACCAGACCUUUCUGCGGGAUCACUGCUUCAACAAGACCACUUCAUCUAGACUGCUACCACCACAGUGUCAGGUUGUAUUCUGACUCUGUCAGUGUUCUUUUGUACUAUUGCAUUUAUUUUAUUUUACUUUUUUUUUUCCUAUUAAAUUGUUUUUGAGUCUCUCACUGGUUUUGCUUUCAAGCCAGCACAUUACUGUACUGACAAUUGAUACUUAGAAUAUAUUUAUUGGCUAAUUUUCAAGCUAGCACUGUCCUUCAGUGCUGUUGGAAAUAUCCUUAUAACCAAAGAAUUCUGAGGUUCAGAAAAGUUGCCUUCAUUACAAAAUCCAAUUACCCCCUGUGAUAUGUGACCUAAAGUUAAUUCAUGUUCGGUAUUGUGAUAUGUAAUAUAAAGUUAAUUCGCGUUCGGUCUGAA